rnacentral:rRNA from 1 species
UAGGGAAUCUUCCACAAUGGACGCAAGUCUGAUGGAGCAACGCCGCGUGAGUGAAGAAGGCUUUCGGGUCGUAAAACUCUGUUAUUGAAGAAGAACGUGUGUGACAGUAACUGGUCAUGCAGUGACGGUAUUCAAUCAGAAAGUCACGGCUAACUACGUGCCAGCAGCCGCGGUAAUACGUAGGUGGCAAGCGUUGUCCGGAUUUAUUGGGCGUAAAGCGAGUGCAGGCGGUCUUUUAAGUCUGAUGUGAAAGCCUUCGGCUUAACCGAAGAAGGGCAUCGGAAACUGGAGACUUGAGUGC